GACGAACGCUGGCGGCGUGCUUAACACAUGCAAGUCGAACGGAAAGGCCCUUCGGGGUACUCGAGUGGCGAACGGGUGAGUAACACGUGGGUGAUCUGCCCUGCACUUUGGGAUAAGCCUGGGAAACUGGGUCUAAUACCGAAUAGGACCACGCGCUUCAUGGUGUGUGGUGGAAAGCUUUUGCGGUGUGGGAUGGGCCCGCGGCCUAUCAGCUUGUUGGUGGGGUAAUGGCCUACCAAGGCGACGACGGGUAGCCGGCCUGAGAGGGUGACCGGCCACACUGGGACUGAGAUGCGGCCCAGACUCCUACGGGAGGCAGCAGUGGGGAAUAUUGCACAAUGGGCGCAAGCCUGAUGCAGCGACGCCGCGUGAGGGAUGACGGCCUUCGGGUUGUAAACCUCUUUCACCAGGGACGAAGCGUAAGUGACGGUACCUGGAGAAGAAGCACCGGCCAACUACGUG
rnacentral:rRNA from 1 species